rnacentral:rRNA from 1 species
CGGAAUUGCUAGUAAUCGCGGAUCAGCAUGCCGCGGUGAAUACGUUCCCGGGCCUUGUACACACCGCCCGUCACACCAUGGGAGCCGGUAAUACCCGAAGUCAGUAGUCCAACCUCGUGAGGACGCUGCCGAAGGUAGGAUUGGCGACUGGGGUGAAGUCGUAACAAGGUAGC